rnacentral:rRNA from 1 species
GCCUUCGGGUGAGAGCGGCGAACGGGUGAGUAACACGUAGGUUACCUGCCCCAUAGACUGGGAUAGCUCCUGGAAACAGGAAUUAAUACCGGAUACACUCGUAAGAGGAAAGGCGCGUUUGCGCCACUGUGGGAUGGGCCUGCGUCCUAUUAGCUUGUUGGUGGGGUAAAGGCCUACCAAGGCAAUGAUAGGUAGCCGACCUGAGAGGGUGAUCGGCCACAUUGGGACUGAGACACGGCCCAGACUCCUACGGGAGGCAGCAGCUAAGAAUAUUGCGCAAUGGGCGAAAGCCUGACGCAGCAAUCCCGCGUGAGCGAUGAAGGCCUUCGGGUUGUAAAGCUCUUUCGGCAAAGAAGAAUAAUUUCCAAGGAAAUAUUGGAAAGAUGACUGUACUUGCAGAAGAAGCACCGGCUAAUUACGUGCCAGCAGCCGCGGUAAUACGUAGGGUGCAAACGUUGUUCGGAAUCAUUGGGCGUAAAGGGUACGUAGGCUGCCAAGAAAGUUAGUGGUGAAAUUCCGGGGCUUAACUCCGGGGCUGCCAUUAAUACUGCUUGGCUAGAGUCACUUAUAUAGGUAGCAGGAAUUCCUAGUGUAGGAGUGAAAUCUGUAGAUAUUAGGAGGAACACCAAUGGCGAAGGCAAGCUGCUGGGUAGUGACUGACGCUGAGGUACGAAAGCUAGGGUAGCGAAUGGGAUUAGAGACCCCAGUAGUCCUAGCCGUAAACGUUGCAUACUAGUUCUAUGGGUAUUUUUUUAUCCGUGAAACGUAGCUAACGCGUUA